CAAUCCAAUGUAUGGGCAUUCAAUUAUUUUCAUGUAACAUCGAAACUUUUGGACACGUAAAAGUGCAAUAUAAAGAUGCAUCUUUUCAUGGCAUGUAUUAGCAAAAACUAUUAAAUCUUUUUUUAAAAUCAGAGUUUCUUCGUAGUACCUUAAACUCAAAUUGCUUGAAAGAGUAUUAUUCAGCUUUUUGAAUUAUUUAGACGCGUUUGCUUGUAGUCGGCUAGGCACGUUUAAUUGAUGCGUUCCUUCGCCACAAUGCACGGCGGUUGUAUUUUGAUUCGUGCACAGUGGAUGCACCCGUGCAUGGGCAGUCAAAUCGUCCAAUCUAGUGGCUUACCCAAGUCGUUUUUAACAAGAUAUUUCCGUAUUGUCGCGCGCGCGUACACACACGCGAAAGCGCGCCCCGGCGUGCUCCGUCCGGUCGUGUCAGCGCUAAAUGGACCAUCAGGGCCGCCAUAAAUCCUGAGACUAUCAGAUCAGCGGUCACAGCAGACCCGACUGUCCCAGAUAUAACGACGGACCACCGCCCAGCGUAAUGGAAGAGCUCACUGUCGACGCGCGAGAGAUACGUCCUAGAUGGAAUCUGCACGAACCUGUCCGCGAGGACACACAGACUCCACCUGACUUCGUCAUUAACCCUUCAUGGCUUUGCUUGGUUUCCCGCGAAAUGACGCUUUAAACAUCGUAUAAAGAAGCGCGGCACGUCUCGCUGGAGCAGGUAAAGAGCCGAGGAACAUUGUUAAUUACAUGGUCGUGCCGAUAUCGAUACUGGCUACCGGAGGCGAAGUAACCGAAGUACUGGCCUAUAGUAAAGAUGGCAUCGUGCACUAACGAGUAACAAGUGGCGUGACGUUUCAGUUAGGCUUUACUUCGCCCAGGACUGGCAAAGAGGAAGAUAUCGGUAUGCCACGACGAACUACCUAUCGCCUCGCCUGGCCGGAGGCUAAUUAACGCGGAGAUUCAUUAUCGACACCUAGCCGUUCUCGCUACCGUCUUAAUUUAAACAUUUCCGAUCCUUUGUACCUUCAUUACUUGUUACAAUAACGGCAGCAAUAUGUAAAUUAAUCAUUUACCAGUAGUACAAAAAAUAUAUUUUAUAUAGUAUAAAUAAAGUGCUGGAAACAUCUCCUUGAUGACAAAUAUUAAGAUACAAAUUAGAAAAUUAUGAUUGUUUUAAAAUUAACAGAAUUCAACAGUUUUUAUUUGUAAUUAAUUAUAAAUUAAACAAACUCAGCAUAUAUAAAUUAUAUUGAAAUACAUGCGUAAGUCAAAUUGUUGUGAUAGUUUUUAAAUAAAAUUUGUUAUGAAAAA